UCUCUGUCAAAUUAAAAAAAAAAAUAACUACAGACUUAGUGGGAAUAAUAAGAUAGCUAGAACUAGAAGUGAAGCCAGAAAAUGUGACAACUAUGGUAAUCUCAUGAUGAAAGUUU